rnacentral:rRNA from 1 species
UCCACGCCGUAAACGAUGUCAACUCGUUGUUGGUCCUAUUAAAAGGAUUAGUAACAAAGCUAACGCGAUAAGUUGACCGCCUGGGGAGUACGGUCGCAAGAUUAAAACUCAAAGGAAUUGACGGGGGCCCGCACAAGCGGUGGAGCAUGUGGUUUUAAUUCGAUGCAACGCGAAGAACCUUACCAUCCCUUGACAUGUAGAGAACUUUCUAGAGAUAGAUUGGUUGCCUUCGG